CCACAAAAAUGGCCGAUACCCUAUCUUUUGAAGCCUUUACACGGACGCUUUUUGCAUGGCGGGUGAUGUGCCUUACCCCGUUUCAUGUGUCGAGGCAAAGCAGAUUAGACGGCACCCUACAAUUUAUCUGCACGAAAGGCGAAUACCAAUUAUGACAAGU
rnacentral:sRNA from 12 species